GGCUGCACCUGUGGCAUAUGGAGGUUCCCAGGCUAGGAAUCUAAUCAGAGCUGUAGCUGCCGGUUUAUGCCACAGCCACAGCAACUCAGGAUCCAAGCCAUGUCUGGAAUCUAAACCACAGUUCAUGGCAAUGCCAGAUCCUUAACCCACUGAGCGAGGCCAGGGAUUGAAGGAAAGGGAGUCAAAAUUUUAGAAUGAAUCUUUUUUUAAUAUUUGAAAAGUUUGAGCAUAUUUAUAGUCAUAAUAAUAGAGAAGCACCAAUAGCAAGAGAACAUUUAAAGAAAGAGCAAAGAGAGAAAAACAGCCAUGUGCCCUUGGAGAAUCUACAAAGACCCAGAAUUGAGGGACCCCCCCCCAAUGCCUCUACUUUUAUAUCUGUAUUGACUGUCUCCAGAAGAACGGGGGGGGGGGGCCUCUCUGUCUUGCUAAUUAUAAUAUUGCCAGUACUUACCACAGUGGGGGUACAUAGUCAGUGUUCAAAGGAAAGGAAGGAAGAGAGAAAAAGGGAGGGAGGGAGAGGGGGAUGAAAGUGUAAUUUCACCCUCAUUCUAUAUUGCAAGCAAUCUUUUCCUUUUGAGUAACAACCACAAUCUACCCUACAGCAAGAGAUUGAUCUUGGGGAGUUCCCAUAGUGGCGCAACAGAAAGGAAUCCGACUAGUAUCCAUGAGGAUGCAGGUUAGACCUCUGGCCUCACUCAGUGGGUUAAGGAUCUGGCAUUGCCAUGAGCUGUGGUGUAGGUUGCAGAUGCGGCUCAGAACCCGAGUUGCUGUGGCUGUGGUGUAAGCUGGCAGCUGUACCUCUGAUUCGACUCCUAGCCUGGGAAACUCCAUAUGCCACAGGUGCAGCCCUAAAAAGCAAAAAAAAAAAAAAAAAAAAAGAAAAGCAAGAAAGAGAGAUUGGUCUUAGAUAACCAUUAUAUAGAUUAUAAAUAUCUUUUUUUGUAUCACAUUUUAUAUUUAUAUUGACUUAACCAACUUCAAUACAGUUUCCCUCUAUUUCAUAUUUUUCCCCCAUAAAAAUCUUCACUUCUUUGAACUUUUCAACAUGGUUGGUAAUAUUUAUUGAUAGUAUUUCUAGGGUAACUUCUAUAUAUUAUAGGGCCUUUCAGGCACCCUCUUAAAAAGUCUCUGCUUCUCACUAAAAGGUUGACAGGAAAAGGUGAGAGAAUGUUCACAAAUUCUCCCAAUAUGUCUGGACUCUUCUUCUUUUUUGGAGGGUAGGGGUGGUAGUCUCAUGCCUGAAAUUUAUUUUCAAAUAUUUCAGAAUAUAUGAUGAGAGAGAGAAAAAUAAAGCAAAUACACUAAAAUGCUAAUAUUUGGGGAAUCUGGGCAAAGAACAUUCAGGAAUUCUUUGUAAUAAUCUUGCAAGUUUUCUGUAAGACAGAAAUUCUAUCAAAACGAAAAAAAAUUAAUUUUUUAUUAUAGUUGAUUUACAAUGUUCUAUUAAUUCCUGCUGCAAAGUGACCCAGUUGUUUUAGUCCUCUUUGGACUUAAUAGAAACACUUGGUUUUCACCACCUCUUAAGCCCAUGCUAUUACAGCUUAGGAAUGUAUGCAUUUAGAUAUUACAACUUAAAAUGAUACUAAUUGGAAAAAUUCUUUGACAUAAAAAUUACAUCAAUCAUCAGAAUAUAAUUAGUGUUGCUAAAUGGUUAUCUAUUGUCUGGAGUGCAAAAAAAAUUCUUCUACCUAGUUUAUAAUUUUAAAUUUAGUAACUGCCAGUGAUAAGUGCCUUUAUACAUGUAGUUUUCACGCAAUGUAAAAUUUAAAUUUAAAACGAUUUGGAAGAGGCUUGGAACUCAGUGAGGCAAUUUAUUUGAAACAAUCUAAACCUUAAGGUCAAUUUUUUUACGGUUCAACCACGUCAACUCGUAAAUUUGUUUUUGAUGCGGUCUUGAAUCAGCCCAGGAAGAUUUUGAAUAACAACAUGGACCGAGACUUAUCCUGAAGCGCAUAAAUCACUUUUGACAUGUAUGUUCAUAACAACAGCCUUCAGAAGAAAAGGGAACAGUGAAAGUUCUAAGAAACUGGGCAGGAAUACUUCCUAACGUUCAGUGGUUUAGAUGAGUUGCUAAAUUCUAAGUUGCAAAAGUAUAUGUAGUUUGCAUGAAAAAAAAAAUUUAAUUCACUAUGCAGACAAAAAGUCCCUUUGAACAUGCUCUAUUUGGGGGUAAUUUUGUGACUCAAAGAGUUCUUCUUAUUUCCCCAGGGAUGCUUUCAUCGUUUCUCUCUUUCGCCCUUUAAAGACCUCAAAAAGUCCAGUUAUGUGUCAUAAAUGUACAUAUGCACCAGAGAUAUUCAGAACAUGUAUUUACUGUCAAAUCAUUAGGAGUGGAAGAGCAGGUCUCUAUGAUCGAAAGGAUAAAUUUCCCAUAUAGUUGAAGCCAGACCCUUAAAACUCAGUAUUUCACAAUAACUCCUUAAUAUCCAUUAAGGGAUCAAUGUCCAAACCAUUGUGGUUCUGAGAAUUUUCUACAUCACAUGGUUCAGCCAAAGGACACAUUUUGGAGCACUAUCUGAGGUCUAGGGAAAUUCAAUGGAAAAAAAAAUAUAUAGAUAUAUUUUUUUAAAUCAACUAGGCUCAAAUCGUCACAACUAAGCCAAGCCAGGAAAUGUCUGGAUUUAGAUACAGUGACUAUAACCCAAAGGGGUAUUUUUUGGAGAGUGAAAGUAAUUUCUGUGUCAUCUUACACCAGAAUUAACUACAAUAUCCCAUAUAGAUCAUUCCCGGGUAGGGCAACAAUAUUUUUCUUCUGUACUUGCCAUUUGUUCUGAUACUUCCUUCUCUCAUUCUCCAUAUUUCAGAGAAACUGACAAAUCUCUCCAUUAUCAAAAUGUUUAAUUAUUUCAUUAACUUAAGUGUGUUUUUAGUCUAGAAGCAUAAAUGUAUGUGACAUUACAUUCAUCUCUCUUGAUCUUUAUUCCUUGCACUUGCUCCUGCUUAUAUUUCCACUCUGAAAAUUUUGCCUGCUUUCUGUCCGCUAUUAUAUUACGCUAACUUCUGUAAGCAGAGGGACUGCCUGGUUUAUAUUUCUAUUAUCUAUGGAGGGUCUGAAAGUCCUCUGGGGCUAUGAGAAUUUUUCUAAGCCACAACUGUUUCUGGCGUUACACAAUCCCUAAGUUUCAUCUCCCUCAUUCCACUUCUCCAAGAGCAUUGAGACGUGUCUGUAUUCUGUUUAUUUUUCUAUUAAAAAAUAAAUACAUCCAAGAGCCUCUUAGAUGUUCCUCCUUUCUUGUUAGAGAUUUAUAGUUAUUCUUUGGAAAGAUUCUUCUAAUUCUUCUUGAGUAGAAUGUCUAUGCAAUAGGACCCCUAAUAUGGAAGCACACCACUUUUUUGUCUUAAUUGUAUUUGAAAUCUGUGUCAUGAAAAACCAGAAUGUCAUUUCUGAGUGCCUGGAGUUGCACCCCCUUCCUUGUUUUGAUUUCCAAGAACAGGCUCUUCACAUACUGUUACUUAUACCCAGAAUGUCCUUCUUCCCCUUCUUUUUCUGGCCAACUUUCUAUCAUCCCCAUAGAGGAUCUACUUAGUAAUCACUUUUUCUCUGAAGCCUUCCAGCCCCCAAUCUCUGUUCUUCCCCAACAUUUUACAUGUACCCUAGUUAACACUUAGCACAUUUUACUAAAACAAGUUACCUGGACCAUGAGUUCUUACAGGAAACCCUGAUGACCUUGUCAUCUCUGGUGCUUAGACAUUGUAUUCAUUCAUUCAUUUACUCAUUUAAUCAUGCAUUUUAAAACACUAUUCAAGAUACAUAGCACAGGGAACUCUACCCAAUAUUCUGUGAUAAUCUAUGUAGAGAGAAAGACUCUGAAAGAGAAUGGAUGUGUGUACAUGUAUAACUUUGUUGUUGUACAGCAUAAAUUAUACAAACUUGUAAAUCAACUAUGUGUCAAUAAAAUUUUUAAAAAUUAAAAAACCACUAUUCAAGAGCCUUCUGUAUGCCUGCAGUUCUGGGGGGCUCCAAAGAUCAACAGUGAAUGGCACAAGCAAGAUUUUUAUCCUCUGGAUGCUUUUAUUUUAGUAAGAUGAAGACUGACAAUGACAGAGCAAACAAAUAAAUGAACAAGAUAAUUUCAGUUGUUAAUUGCUAUCAAUAAAAUAUAUAAAACAGUCCAGUAUAGUGUGAUAGGAAGGGUACCAUAGACAGAGUGGUGAGACAAAACCUCUUUGAGUGGUGAUAUUUGAGCUGCAAUUUGAAUGGAAUGAAAAAAACAUUAAGAAGAUCCAGUCAGGGAAAUGCAAAUCAAAACCACAAUGAGAUAUCACCUCAUGCCUGUUAGAAUGUCUAUUAUCAAAUAAAUGUGUAUACGUAUGAGACAAGUGUCAGCAAGGCUGUGGAGAAAAGGAAACUCAUGUGCGCUCUUGCUGGGAAUGUAAAUUGGUGCAACCACUGUGGAAAACAAUAUGAAGUUUCCUUUCCUCAAAAAAUUAAAAAUAGAACUAUCAUAUGAUCCAGCCAUUCCACAUCUGAGUAUUUAAAGAAAACAAAAUUGCUGUCUAAAAUAGAUAUAUGAGCCCCCAUUUAUUUCAGCAUCAUUCAUAACAGCCAAGAUGUGGAAACAACAUAAGUGUCCACUAAGAGAUAAAUGAAUAAAGAAAAUGAGAUAGACUAGAUAGAUAGAUAGCAGAAAAAAAAGAAAAAUGUAUACACAUACAAUGAGAUAUUAUUCAGCCAUUAAAAGAAGGAAAAUCUGCUUUUUGCAACAAUGUGGACGAAGCUUGAGGGCACUAUGCUGAGUGAAAUACGUUAGAGAAAGACAAAUACUAUCUGUCCUCAUUUACGAGGACUCUGAAAAAAGUGAACUUAAAGAAAUAGAGAAUAAAAAUGGAAGUUGUUAGAUCCUGAGGGGUGAGGAAAAUGGGAGAUGUUGAUUAAAGGGUACAAAAUUCCAGCUGUAGAAUGAAGAAGUUCUAGGGAUGUGAUGUACAGCACGAUGACUAUUAAUAAUGAUAUGGUAUUCUAUACUUGAGAAUUGUUAAGAGAAUAGACCUUAAAUGUUGUCACCCCC
rnacentral:lncRNA from 1 species